rnacentral:lncRNA from 1 species
CCUAAUAUAACCUUUGCAUUCACUAACAUGAGGAGAAUGAUGAAGACUGACAAAUGAUAGUCAAAAUGUCACUAGAUAACAAAUAUCCGGACUUGUAACUAUGGACAAAACUGUCUGAAGGGUGUUAAGCUUUUGAGAGAUUCAUAAAAUCUUCAUUAGAUUAGGAAGAAAUCUGAAGUAUGUGUAAACGGAGAGUAGAAGAAAAUAUUUCUGUCAUCUGACAGCUGCAGAGAUCUUACAUACUCUUCUGAAAUACUUUGUACUGACCGCUGACAGAUGAACUGCAUCCUGGGUGUGAUUCAGAUGGCAAGUUCUUGGCUUGUUCUGGGACACAAACAAAUACUGAGUUCUUGGCUUUAUCUUUUGCAACGUAUUAGCUGCCUCAAAAGAACAAGCAAUCAGUCAAUUUCAAUUAUAUGCAAAGUUCUGAAGUAGCAUGUGUCUGAGGAUGAAUUUCAGGCAUGAAUUUACGAGGCUGGGACUCUCCUUCAAGUCCUGCUUCCUAUGACCUGCACUGUGUGUCACGGGAAAAGCUGCCUAGCCUUCUCACAAGCCACCCAAGGUGGCUAAAACUGCCUGAAACCUCUGUCUGGGCUGGAUUCUCAGCAGGUCUGACUCAACAGAUGUUGCUUCAGCUUUCUGCAGCUCUGAUCUAAAGCCACUACUGUUUCUUCCUACAGUCCUGUAAUACACAACAGACAUAAAGGUCAAAGGCAUCUCUGCCAGUAUUUAGGAACUGCACAGUAAAUUUCUUGAAGCCUCAAAGUCUCAGGAAAGGGAUGAGUAAAAUCUUGUCAAAUUGGAAUUACAGAAACUUCAAUUUCUGAGGCAUGUUUCCACUUUAUCCAUGGGGAGACCAGUUCUUUUUUGGGCCGUUUUCCAUUGCGCAGGGCAAGUAACAAAGGCAGGAGGUUACAACAGCCCCUCUUAGAGAAGAGCAGGCUAAAUGAGGGUAAAAGGAAGUAGUUUGAAAUCAAUUAUGUUUUCGAUGUCUCACAUUUAAACAUGCCAGAAUACAAAUAGCUUUGUAAAUAAUAGUGUUUCAUAACAUACUGGUUAUUUAGAAACAAAUAGAUUUAAUACAGGUAUAAUUACUCCUAAUAGGGCACUUAAACGGUGAGCAAUCACCCAGUAAUUGCUUGCAUUCCUGUGCGAUGACAGCCUGCACUUUAUCAGGUUAGGCUUGUCAAGCUAGACCUUGGGCUUCAUGCUAGGCUUCAUUUUAACCAGCUAACAACUGUAAAUUUUUAGCAGCUUGGUUAUACUAGUAUCUGAAAAGGUGUUAGUGAACGGUGUGUGUUAAAAUAAAGCUUUCUCUAGCAGAACCUCAGUGGAGUAAGCACAGCCACAGGGUGUACAAGGAUACCAGCUGCCAAGGGGGCUGAAAGAUUUUCCAUGGUGGAGUACCCCUUUCGCCCAGUUCUCUGCCUGGCAGGAUGGAUGAGAUCUGGCUGCCAGUGCAUGCCACUGCCUGACACCUUGCAUGCCAGACAGCUGACGGCUUCCAGCUCCAGCCUCCACACAGCAUGUGCAAGGAGGCCACAUUUCCAGAGAGAGGAGUUUGUUCCAUAGAGCCAAAUCCAUCAGGCUUUCAGGGAAUUACCCAGUAUCACAGAUUCAUUUCCAGCCUGCCACUUUUCCUCCAAGAAUCUGAUUUCCAGUCUUCCCAGGGACAACAGUUUCGCUUUUUUUAUUGCUGUUGUUAACUGUAAUCUUAAUUUUGUAUAAUGAACUACUAGAAAUAUAGCCCUUGGGUUAGCUGUAACAUGCAGUAGAUGUUGCACAUGCCUUAGUGAAUUGACUGCUAUUUUUCAGCCAGUAGAAAUGCCCCAGAAGACUGCAUGUGCUAUGUGAACAUAUCCCAGUCAGUUGUAGUAAACCAACUUUUCCCCUCAGGAGUCUGUCUCAAGCUUACAUGCGUAAUGAUACUUCUAAGAGUUUGCCCAGGUUAAUGCCUGUGAGCUGCUCUGCUGGUGCCUUUCAAAACCACAUGAAAGGGCAGUAGCACAUUGACUGCAGCCUUUGCUCAUCCCUAUCGUAUGCCUCCCUCCUGACACUUUCACACAGGUGGCAUUGCAGCCUUCAUUUUUCCCUAGGAGGGUGACUGUAAUUGUUUACUCCUAAUUGCCAUAUUUCUCCUUCAUCAUAAAUUGCAAAAGUGAGCAAGCCCCCUACAACUUUUAUUACACUUCUGCAGUGGGUGCUGCUCCCACUUGAUAGGUGGUGGGCAGGAAGUCCACCUGUGCUCUAGGUCCCUUCUGCACUCCUAGUGCCCAGCUCCCUACUGAGGACCAGCCCCCAUGUUAUUGGUGUUUUGCUGUAUUCAGGGCCCUCACAAAAACAUCAGACACAUCAAUAAAGAGAUGGAUUCUGCCCAUUCUGGCUACUGGGUAAGGGGCAGCCAGCUCUCUUCAGGUUAGGGCAUUGAAAUAGAAGUACUUCAAAAGCAGCAUUAAAAAGAUCUUUCUGAGUAAAGCCUCAGGCAUAAGGGAGUAGUCAUACAAUUAUAUUUUCUUCCAGCUACUAAUCUUUCUUAGCUUCUAGCCUGUUUCCUUGCUGAUCCCUGGAAAGUGGGAUUUUAGGUGUUUACUGCUGAAGUUUGGAGUGAUUUAAAAUGAAUUCUUAAAUAUAGUAUAUGAUUCUCAGAACUAAGUUAUUUAUACAUUACUAAUGUUCUAAGCAGUUAAUACUUUCUAAGGACUCUUGUAAUUUAUUAGCCAAUUUCAUAUCUUAUAGCUUAUGAAGAAAUGCCAAUUAACCCUCGUAGCAUGCAGUCAAGAUAGAUGAGGAUUAAGUCCCUACAGUGAGCCCUGGGAAUAGCAGAUAUGCAACGACCUGAAAAUUGUAUCCACAUCUCUUUUGCCUUUAAUUAACAUAAGUUCAUGGUUGGAGUUCCUUUCCUCUUUUUAUUAAUCCUUUAUCUACAGUCUUGGAUCUCUGGGGCUCUAACAAUUAGGACAGCUUACACUUUCUUGAUUCUUCUGAAUCUGACUUCAGACUUGCAGGGGCUUUCCAACCAGACUUGAUAAGCAGGGUGCUGGGAGGCAGGACAAGAUUUCAGUAAGUGUCCAGAGAUAACACAACUGUCCCGGAAGCCAGGAAAAUGAGGAGAGCUGUGGAUACACAUGGGUAACUGACUGUGAGGAAAUUUGAAAUUGCUCAAAUCCUGAUGUGACUACCAGCAUCACCACAGAACUUGAGAGCAUAAGAAAGGAAUGCUAACAGACUUUGAAACACUUCAGAGCUAGUGUUAGAUUCCUGUGGAGAAUACUGUAAAUAAUGCAUAAGGCCAUUAUGCUAUUCUUUGUGUGCAAUUACUUUAUUAGUUUUGAAAUAAAGAGGAAUGUAAAUUUCAAUCUGUACUUAAGACAAAAAAACAAAGCAAUGUAGUAUGCUAUUCCUGAGUAAAAGAUUAACU